rnacentral:rRNA from 1 species
AGGACGAACGCUGGCGGCGUGCUUAACACAUGCAAGUCGAACGGAUUCGUGGCACUUGUGUCGCGGGUUAGUGGCGAACGGGUGAGUAACACGUGAGUAACCUGCCCCAGACUCUGGGAUAACUCCGGGAAACCGGUGCUAAUACUGGAUAUGACAUCAAGCCGCGUGGUUAUGGUGUGGAAAGUUUUUCGGUCUGGGAUGGGCUCGCGGCCUAUCAGCUUGUUGGUGAGGUAGUGGCUCACCAAGGCGACGACGGGUAGCCGGCCUGAGAGGGCGAUCGGCCACACUGGGACUGAGACACGGCCCAGACUCCUACGGGAGGCAGCAGUGGGGAAUAUUGCACAAUGGGCGCAAGCCUGAUGCAGCGACGCCGCGUGAGGGAUGACGGCCUUCGGGUUGUAAACCUCUUUCAGCCUGACGAAGCGAAGUGACGGUAGGGCAGAAGAAGCACCGGCCAACUACGCGCCAGCAGCCGCGGU